AUGGUUGACCCAUCGGUCACCCUGGAGAUGGGACGGGUUGGUGCCAACUGGUCGCAGGGCACUUGGAGCGUCUUGAAGGUCUCGAUGGAGAUCACGUUGAGGUCGGCGCCUCCGUCGAUGAGGGUCUUGGUGACCGCGACAUUGCCGAUGGUGGGGGUGCACAACAUAGGGAGCACGCCGGCAGCAGCCGUGCACCUGAGGUGGUCCUUGGAGUCGAAGGUGAUGGCAUACUGCAACCACUUGAGGGGCCGCGCGGUCUCAAGGCUCGGGAGGGCGGCGUUCGCCUCGCGGGAGAACUGCUUGAAGACGUGGUUGGACACGGGGGCUUGA
rnacentral:rRNA from 1 species